rnacentral:rRNA from 1 species
UACAGAGGGUGCGAGCGUUGUCCGGAAUCACUGGGCGUAAAGGGCGCGUAGGCGUCUUGAUAAGGUUGCGGUGAAAGCCCGGGGCUCAACCCCGGGUCGGCCGUGGCAACUGUCGAGCUGGAGCACUGUAGAGGCAGGUGGAAUUCCGGGUGUAGCGGUGGAAUGCGUAGAGAUCCGGAAGAACACCGGUGGCGAAGGCGGCCUGCUGGGCAGUGGCUGACGCUGAGGCGCGACAGCGUGGGGAGCAAACAGG